UGUCUAAGGAUGGGAAUCGAUUCCACAGUGUUCCGCUUACCGGGCAGAUGCCAUGUCCACUAGGCUACCAUGGC
rnacentral:tRNA from 1 species